AAAGUCCGUAACAAGGUCUCCGUUGGUGAACCAGCGGAGGGAUCAUUACCGAGUGUAAAAACUCCCAAACCAUUGUGAACCUACCACUGUUGCUUCGGCGGCCUCGCCCCGGGCGCGUUCGCGCGGCCCGGACCCAGGCGUCCGCCGGAGGCUCCAAACUCUUGUCUUUUAGUGUAUUUCUGAGUGGCAUAAGCAAAUAAAUCAAAACUUUCAGCAACGGAUCUCUUGGUUCUGGCAUCGAUGAAGAACGCAGCAAAAUGCGAUAAGUAAUGUGAAUUGCAGAAUUCAGUGAAUCAUCGAAUCUUUGAACGCACAUUGCGCCCGCCAGUAUUCUGGCGGGCAUGCCUGUCUGAGCGUCAUUUCAACCCUCAGGACCCGUUCGCGGGACCUGGCGUUGGGGAUCAGCCUGCCCCUGGCGGCGGCUGGCCCUGAAAUCCAGUGGCGGUUCCCUCGCGAACUCCUCCGUGCAGUAAUUAAACCUCUCGCGGCAGGAUAGCGGUUGAACCACGCCGUUAAACCCCCCACUUCUCAAGGUUGACCUCAGAUCAGGUAGGAAUACCCGCUGAACUUAAGCAUAUCAAUAA
rnacentral:rRNA from 1 species